rnacentral:rRNA from 1 species
GUGGGGAAUCUUAGACAAUGGGGGAAACCCUGAUCUAGCCAUGCCGCGUAAGCGAUGAAGGCCUUAGGGUUGUAAAGCUCUUUCAGCUGGGAAGAUAAUGACGGUACCAGCAGAAGAAGCCCCGGCUAACUCCGUGCCAGCAGCCGCGGUAAUACGGAGGGGGCUAGCGUUGUUCGGAAUUACUGGGCGUAAAGCGCACGUAGGCGGAUCAGAAAGUCAGAGGUGAAAUCCCAGGGCUCAACCUUGGAACUGCCUUUGAAACUCCUGGUCUUGAGGUCGAGAGAGGUGAGUGGAAUUCCGAGUGUAGAGGUGAAAUUCGUAGAUAUUCGGAGGAACACCAGUGGCGAAGGUGGCUUACUGGUCCGGAACUGACGCUGAGGUGCGAAAGCGUGGGGAGCAAAGAGGAUUAGAAACCCGGGUAGUCC